CAUAUUGCACAAUGGGGGAAACCCAGAUGCAGCAACGCCGCGUGAGCGAUGAGGGCCUUCGGGUCGUAAAGCUCUGUCCUAAGGUCCGAUAAUGACGGUACCUUAGGUGGCAUCCCCGGCUAACUACGUGCCCGCAGCCGCGGUAAUACGUAGGGGGCAAGCGUUAUCCGGAAUCAUUGGGCGUAAAGGGUGCGUAGGCUGCCCUAUAGGUCAGAGGUCAAAGGCUACGGCUCAACCGUAGUAAGCCUUUGAAACUGUAGGGCUUGAGUGCAGGAGAGGAGAGUGGAAUUCCUAGUGUAGCGGUGAAAUGCGUAGAUAUUAGGAGGAACACCAGUGGCGAAGGCGACUCUCUGGACUGCAACUGACGCUGAGGCACGAAAGCGUGGGUAGCGAACA
rnacentral:rRNA from 1 species